UAGAAUACGAGAGUCAGCCUGAAACUGACUUUGGAAGAAGUGGUGCCUUAUGAAUCACAUUAAAAUGAAAUGAUCUAAUAGAUCACAUAAAAGCAGCAGGAUGAAAUGUGAAACAGUCAGUUAAUCCAAUGGUUUAUUACACAUGACAGUACACUUGCUGCCAGUGGUGCAGCUGAGGCCAUACUGACUUUCUUUGCUUUUUUGAUUCGUCAACUUUAGUGAGUUAUUCAGAAGAUUUCAUAUGAACAGCUCCGACUUCAAGAGUCAAAAUUUUCUUAUAGCCCCACGCAGUGUCUCGCAAGAUCGCAAAACUCAUGGCACUUUGGUUAGCAGUUGAUGCGAAGUAAAAUUACAACUUAAAAGAGUCUUUUCUUAGGAAUUUACCAACAAAUCUGCAUAAAAUAUUGAUAUUCCAGGCAGUUUGGCCAUAUUUCCACUGUCACUCUGCAUUUACAUUGUUUGUCUAAAAGACUUAAUGGCUAUGUGCUAGCUAGUUAAAUUAGUCAUUGGGUUACACUUAGUUUCCAUGUUUUCCAGUUGCUUAGCAACAAGUGAUGGCUUCUCGAAUGAUCUAUCAGUAACUUGGUUACUAUUAUGAGCCUAUUACAGUUGAGUUUUAUAGCACGGGGUCUAACUGUAGGUUUAAAGCGAUUACACGAACACACAGGAACACACUCAUUUAAAGACAGAUAGGAAACACCAUCAAUGCUAUGUUUUUUAUAGACUAAAAUGUAUCAAAUCUGUAAUCAUGCUAUGUGUCUUCUAAAAAAAAAAACAAGCAGCGUAAACAGAAAAGCAGCAUUUGUGCUUUCAAUCAGACCACAGAAAAACAACUUGAUGGUUCUGUCCUUUGUUCCUUGCUUACAUUUAUUUUAAUGUAUUUUCUUCUUGAAAAAGAUGGAUAAAUUAGCUCUGCUCAUCCAUUUUGCUCAUCCGGUGAGCCAUGCUAGCAACAGUGUUCUCAUAACUAAAACCACUUGAAAGGUGAAUGUAUUAUGUUUUUGUCAUCUGAUAUCAAAAGCACAAACUCACAAGGUCCAUUUGAAUGCCACAUUAGCUCCGCUCUAGUGUUUGUUAUCAAUCCAGGCUUUGAUUCAAAUUUUGUUUCAGGUAAAAAUUGUAAAAUUGUUUAGAUUAUGUCCAAAGUUGUAGUGACAGAUAUAAAAUAGAUGCAAUUCAUUUGUGGCACCAUGACGCCGUAUCAUUAAUGAAACAACAAUAAGCAUAAUGUAUGUCCAAUAAAUAAAGAUAAAAAAUAAAACACCCAGCAAGAUAAACAUGUCUCUCAAUUCAGCACUGACCCAGUGAGGCAAGAGCGCAUGACUUUGAUACUUAAAGACGGAGUGAGGUUUCAUGUGCUGUUGACACACCAGUCUGCAUUAAGAUCUAUCCUCGCUGGAGGCCAUGGCAAAGGAAGAGUGUGCAGUAGCGGAGGAAGUUCUGUGAAAGGCCAGCUGAGCACUUGAGGUUAACUUUAGCCACACAGGAAUGCCUUUCGAGUAUAACGGAGCUCCUUCCUACAACUUGACCCGCCAUCGUAAGUGUGUACACAUCAUGUCAGAUUUAGCAGAUAAUGCUAAUUACCAAAUGCUGACCAAAUGAGAUACCAAAUACCGAAUGAGAUACGACACAGAGCUGUUUACCUCCUUGGACUCAGAAAUGAACAUCUUUCAGAUUGGUAAGCUAAAUUACACUGUUCUAUUAAUUCUGCCAUUAUGUCACACACCAGCCUGGGACAUCACACUCCCAGUCAGCAGAGGUCUCCCUCCCAUGAGUUUGACCUUAUCACUUGCAGGUUACUUCCUGCUUUGUAGAGCAAUACAAUAUAAGACCAAUACGUGCAGUGCCUAAUGGCGAAGUCUUGCCAAUCCCAGCAUUUGUGUAAGUUCUGAGCUAUCUCAUUAUUGUGUUUUGACCCUUGCCUGUUUAUAAAAUAUGAUGUCUCACUAUUUUUCACGCUUGCUACCCUUACAAUGAUUCUGUUUUGUCUUUAUUAAUAAACCAUCCUGCAUUUAAAGCCUUAAUCAUCUCCCAAGUCCUGUUCGUUACAUUGUGUUUAAUAGACAAUGAUGGGCAUGCCUGAUAGACAUGUAUACAUUUAAAUACUGACAUGGACGCUGCUGCUAUUUUUUUUUAACAUUUAGAUUAUGUUGGUUAAUAAUUUGAUGUCACACAUUGUCAGAUAAUUACCAGCAACAGACCUAGAGGUAUCCACUUGGCACUGCCCUUCAAAACAUUACAAUAAUUUCAGCCAAAAGCCUCAUUUUGUUGUCAUGAGGAUUAGUAGUGUAACUUCUGAUUUGUAAAUGUUGCAUGAAAGUUGUAAAUAUGUCACCAUUUCUAUAUAAACUGCACUGGUUACUUGUCCCUUUUCCUUCAGUUCAUAUAAUAACAGCAUUUUCAAGGCAAUCCCCAGUCUCUGUGAUGGCUGUAUAUCCUUUAUUUUGUCCCUUUAUUUGUCCUAAUUCUAUCAUAUCUAUUCAUUCUGAUUCACGUAUGCUUAAACUCUAAUUAAUGUUUGUCAUAAUUAUUUUUGUUCUAUUUAUUUUGUCAUAAUUCUGAUUUGUGGAUUUUGCCAAGUGUCCUUGAGUUUGAGAAAGGUCUUAAAUAAAAUAAAACAUUUGAGAAAUAAAUAGGAAUAAAUAUCCAGGUGGAGCAGCAUUGCCACUUCACAGCUCCAGGGUCCUUGGCUCAAUCCUGAACUCGGGUUACUGUCUGUGUGGAGUUUUACAGGUUCUUCUAGUGUCUGUGUGGGUUUUCGCCAACCUCUAAAAAACAUGCCAGUAUGUGGAUUGGAUAAGAUAUACUGCCCCUGGGUGUGAAUGAGUGUGUGAAUAAAGCAGUUACUGUGAGUGAGCGACUGAGUGGGAGAUAGAUAGAUAGAUAGAGAUAGGGAUGAUGAUGAUGAUGAUGAUUAUUAUUAUUAUUAUUAUUAUUAUUAUUAUUAUUAUUACAAUAUGAGUCAUAGUAUGCCUCUAAAUAUCACCAUAGUAAAACAAAAUGUGACCUUGCAUUGGUGCUGUAUAAAUAACACUUUAAAAUUAUUUUUAUUAACUAUUAAUUUUAAUAUUACUUAAUUACUAUCAAAUUAUUUUUAUAAUUAUUAUCAUUUACUGCUGCUACAGGUAUGCCUAUUAUUGCUCCACUACCAAAUAGUUUACAGUUUACAGGCCAUGUUCUGUGUACUUACUGUCCUGUGUAUUUAUUGCUCUGUUCCGUGUGUUUAUUGUCCUGCACUCGUCUCACAUGUUGUGUAUUUGCACUUUAUGUAGUCUUGUGUACUGUUAUGUGUUGCACCACGGCCCUGGAGAAACGACAUUACGUUCCAAUGUAUAUAAGCUAUAUAGAGGAAUGACAAUAGAAACCCAUUUGACUUUUUUAUUAUUGAUAUUAUUAUUUUUAUUAUUGAUGGAUAGGACUCUGUGGCAGAGGUGGGCUCUCCUGAGGAGCAUGAUCUUCUGAAAUUCAUGGAUGUUAAUCUUUCCUGAGAUCCAGUCAAGGUGCUGUACUCUUCCGGUCCUUUCUGGACUCCGAUGACAACUGGAAUCAUCUCCCCCAUAUUGGACUCAUUUCUAUUUCCAGAUCUUUGCACUUGAAGAGCCUUUCUGAGACUUUAGUGGAUGUGUUGUUAUCAGAUGGCAUUGACGUAUCAAUGAGUGUGCACAUCUUGUCCUUGAUGAUGACCUGCUAGCUUUGAACUCUCUGAGAGUCUGUAGAGGUGUCCAAUCUUUUUUCAAAGCGGACCACAUCAAAAUACCCAAGGGCCAGUCACCAAAAUAUUAUUUUAAAGCUCCCAUAUAGUGAAUUUCAUUUUAGUGGAAUAACUGCAGCAGGGUAUCACCUGACAGCUGUUGUUGUGACUCACAAUAUGAUAUUCACAAAUGUGUGUUUCUUUUUGGGACAAAUGACACUGGCCACUUUAGUUAAGGACUCUUUCAAGGAUUCAUAAAAGGUUUUCCAUGCUUAGUGGUUGAAAGCAUUGCCACUUAUUAGCUCUAGUAAUGUUCUGUGCCCUGUUUGCUCUGCUAAAAUCUUUCAGCCGCUUCAGGUUCUCUGCCCUCUCAUCCUCCGAAUACUUUUUGCAUUGGCCAUGAUUUGCUUCAUAAUAUCUCAUGAUGUUAAAUUCCUUAAUUACCACAACAGUGUCUUGACAUAGGAGGCACACACAUGUGCUCUUGAUAAAAAAAGUAUUCUUUUUUCCAGCUCUUUUGAAAUCACUCCUUCUCACUGUUAACUUUAUGCUUCUUGUCUCUAGCCAUUAUUAAAUAUCAAUCAUUCAGUAAAUUAAUUUGCAGGUGCAGUCAGAGUAAAAAAGGCUUUUGCAAUUUAGCUAACCGUGUUAACACAGUCUGCUGCCACCCUCAGGCGAAAGGAAAAACUUGCAAGCCACCUAAUAAUUCAAGUUUAAUUUAAGUUUUAAUUUAAGUGAAGUGACUUGUGGCCAAGUAUGGUGACCCAUACUCGGAAUUUGUGCUCUGCAUUUAACCCAUCCAAGUGCACACACACAGUAGUGAACACACACACACACACCGUGAACAACGUGAACCGUAAUACAUUGUAAAUGAGAAGCCAUGGGCCAAUUAACAUCCACACUUUGGAUUUUGGACUUUGGACCAUGCUUUAAAGGUUAGGUGUUUUUUUUUUUAUGAAUUGAGCCCACUCCCCCAUUCCCACUCAUUCUCACAAAGCUCUGCCUCCAGGAUCUUAGAUGGCCCAUAGAGUAGGGUGUCUGUAAAAUAACUGACUGGAGGUGCAUCCAAACACAAACAAGCCUUCUGGACCAGAAGUAAGUUUUCCAAAUGGUUUACGGGCCACGGCUUAAUGCAUUUUUUUUUAUCAUGUUCUACAUAUCUUCCAGGUUAUUUGUACAAGUCAGAAAUGAAAAAAGACUAUUGCACCUUUUAAUUAAUUAUUCUUUUUAUUUUUUAAUGUGGAUACUCUUUCACAAUAUCUUGUGUUUAUGUAAGGUACAAGAAGACUAUUAAUCUUAAAUCAAUCAAUAAAUAAAGACAAGUAAAUGUUGUCUGUUCCUGGUGUAGAGCCCAGCAGAAAGUGGUACAGUUUUGGGAGAUCAUGGAUGCUGUUUUUUUUUUUUUUUUUUCUUCUCUAAUAUAGGUCCCGUCACUCAUCCACUCACUCGUUCAGUCAUUUGGUCGCCGCACCCUGUCCACUACAUAAGGAAUGGGGUUGUAACUGAGUCUGGAGACAGAUGGCUUCUAUUUAUAGGCUUCUGGAGAGGUGCGAAGUUUCUUGGGAUCUCUCAGAGAGGGCUCAGCUCCUUAAGGGGCCAGUCCAGUGCCACAGGGUCUUCCCCUUUAAAGCUCGUUUCUCAGCUGAGAGUAUAAAAGGUACGGCUAAACAAAGCUGCACUUGGCCUUGGAUGCUGUUUGUUUCUCCAUGAAAGCAAUCUGAUCUGCAUCUCCUUGGAGAAAAAGCCCUAUUAUUAUCUCUCGGUAUUAAUGAAGUCUCCGAAACACUUCCAGCAUCUCCUGUCUUUCCCAAUAAAGACUUCUUAAUCGUGUCUCACCCUCACAGGCAUGCUAUCUUGUCCAUGGAAACAUUUUUAGUUGUAAAACAACACUAAUUUAAACAACUUCGAUUUGGUUGUGAUUUCGAGAUCUUCCAUUUUUUUUUUUACCAGAGUCUGUAUCUUUUUGUUCUCAAUUACAAAAUGUUAGUAAAGUGUUUUUUUUCUCAAUGUACAAAAGUAUUUUAUGGACAUUAGAAUGCUUGGAAUAAAAAUAAGGCAACCUUAUUUAUUUAGCAUAUCUAUAGUAACAAAAAAUCUAUAUUUAUUUCUUCAAUAAACUUAAGGAAGUACUCCUAUCAUCAGGAGUUCUCGGGUUCGGAUCCUGAUGAUGCCACAGCCAUCCGUGGUCGGGAGUCUAGGGAGCAAAACUGGCCGCGUUGUCUGGGUGGGAGGGGCGUACUCUCUCUCUCCUGUCAAUCACAGCAUCUAAGACUUCAGCCUCCACUCUUGGUAGCUGUCGUGUGAUAGGGCAGAGCUGGCUGAUGGGUGGGAACUGAGAGAUGACCGAAUUGGGGAUGAAAUGGGCAAAUUACAUAGAAUAGUUUAUAAAAAUCUGUGCACUUUGGAAAUAAUAACUUAGAUUUUUUAUUCUGUUGUAUUUAUUAGUUUGUUUGCAUAUUAAUUUACUCAUUCUAGUUAUUAUUAUUGUUAUUAUUUUUUAAAAUCUUAUUAUUAAAAUAUAUUAUAGAUUUCACUUAAUUUUUAAAGACUUACUAUUUUCCCCUUCCAGAUGUCCUUUGGUAAAAGUUUUAGACCUUUAGACAUUGUGAACAAUUUCACAGUUUGAGGAAAGAUUGUACCUUUUAUUUUUAAGAACUGACUCAUUCAUGCAUCCAGAACCUACUCCCAUCUUAAUCACAUGACAGGAAGUGAAGUAAUUCAUAGUUUUAGUGUGACUGAUGUAUCACUUUAUAUCUGUGAUAACUCUUUGGGUGAUUAUUACUAUUGUUAUAAUAUUACACAGUGUUUUAUUGUUCAUUGCAUUCAAAUAACACUACUUUUUAGAAAGUUUAUUAUACAUUUUUUAAUGUACUGCUCUAAAGCAAAGGAUUUGCAUUAAUAUGCUGGUAUUUACCGAGACUUUAGGAAAUAAAAAUGUUAAUGUCCACUGAAUGGUGAUCAGAUUUUGCUCUAACUGACGUCAACAAAUAUUCAGUUUUAAUUUUCUUUCAAAUGCAUGAAUGUUUAAGGAGAAUAAAUGUUGAAUCUGUUUACAUGACCUGUGCCUGGUUUAAAUGGGUUAAUGACAGUAGCAGAAGCAGUUUGAGGAAACACUCGAGCUCAGAUGUCCUGCAUGAACAUAAAUAUCCCUAGUGAGCUGUUGUGUACAAGUAAAUUUGCACUAGACUUAAUAAGUAUGAAAGGGACUUAAAAAAAAAUACAAAAGAAAAAAAAAGAUAAUUGUUUAACUAGGGAAACAUUUAAAACAGUGUAUCCAUCUUACCUACAUUUUGUCUGAAAAAAAUAUUUCUUUUUAAGAAAACAAAGCUUAAUGUGUAUGAAUGUAAUGCAAUAUCAGACAUAACUGCAUGCUUAAUUUUUUUUUCCAUUUGCUAUUGCAGAUAAAUGAAUCAGCUCAGUGCUGCCACUGUGUGUUCAUUAUCAGAACUACACAAUUACUUUUGUAUGAACAGAAUCUGGGGUUCUUGCUACAAUGUAAAGUUUUAGAAAUUAUUAAAAACACACACUUUUAGUAAUAUAUCAAUACGUUUAUCCCGAUUUGCUGAACACAUAAAGGCAGUGCUUAAAUUUAAUUGGAUGAUGGAUGAUACCACAGAUUCUUUUCCUCUUCUUCUUCUUCUUCUAUAAUAAUAAUAAUAAUAAUAAUAAUAAUAAUAAUAGCAUUUUUAAUUAUCUGUACAAUUCAUUACACUUCUAUGUUUACUAUCAGAAAGGGAUCCAGACUAGAACCUAUGUUUGAGUACAAGAACUUCUGAGACUAGACCAUGGAAGGAUCCAGUAUUCUGUCAGACUUUCACAUUAAGGUCUGAGCAAUGUGAACAGGAUAACCUUGGCUAUUUUCAGCACUCAUGUGCAUGGCUAGAGAUGGUGUAAAACAGCGAAUGGAACACACUUCAAGGUGAACAUCCUUCAGCAAACAGAAGAACAUCUCAUCUGCUCUGAUGCCGAUUCUUAUUACAUCUUUUCUCUAGCAGUCAUAUGUCUGAGAAUAGAAAGGGAGCUCAUGGAGUCUGAUAUAUCACUUUAUGGCUGUGGUUUCUCUCCUCAGUAAGGUUUGGUACUGUGAAAAAGGGGCCGAGGUGUAGAAUUGUACAGACUGAAAAGACUGAACAGAACAACUACCAAUGUGAUACAGAGCAAAUCAUUAUUUAUACUUUUUUUUUUUUUUUUUCAUUUACAUUUUGUGGCAUUUGGCAGAUGCCCUAAGUCUCUAUCAAUGAAUACAUCCUGAUAAUGGUUCACUAGGUCAUGAAAGAAUACCAUCCGUCUAAAAAACUACUGGAGAGGUAACAUAGUAAGAAAAACACACAGAAAAACUUGAUUUUUAAAAAAAUAAAGUGCUAAUUUAUUUAUAAAUAUUUAUAGAGAUGUUAAUAUACCAUGUGAAAGGUUAAAUCCAGUGUUCUCAGUAAUAUCCUUUUUUGCACAAAGCACAGGGAGAAAAUGCAAACUCCACACAUGAGGUGGGAUUUGAACCCCCAACCCCAGAGAUGCAGUAUGUAAUGCACAAGUGAACAUCGUAACAGGGGUUUAAAAGUAAAGCCAAAUUGUCUCUGAGGUCCUCUAAUGGCUGGCUGCAGUACAAUGUUUAGUGGUCAAAAAUAUGUUGUGUUAAGUGUAAAUGCUGACUGCUGUUUAUCAGUAUAUCUUCAGUGGGUACAUUAUGUUAGCUACUUAUACUUACAUUACUUUGAUUAACAUGAUGGAUUAGCCAAUGUCAGCUAGCUAUUAAAUAGCAGUUCAGACAGUUAUGACUCAAAAUCAAUAUAUUUAUACAAAUUACAGGACUACAAUUUAGUAUUUUACCAGUUAAUUCAUAAAUAAUGCUGUACUUACAACAUUGAGGUAGCCUUCGAUGUGCCAUCUUAAUUUCAGGUAAUAUCCCUUGGCAUGAUGACUUGCAGCAUGAAGAAUGACUAAUAUGGGUAGGCAAGAGGUAGACUCACUGUUCAGUGGGCAGUGUCUACUGCUCAUGCUCUGGUCUAAGGUCUCUACUGUGCAAACUCAGUCAAAAUGGUGAUCUUCAAUUUGACCAAAUUUACGCUUCAAACCCGCACAACGGAAGUCAAUGGCGCCAUGUUGUCCAUUCAUACCUACAUAGCUUCAAACCCGCACAAUGGAAGUCAAUGGUGCCACAUUGUCCACUCAUAGGUAUAUGGCUUCAUACCUGCACAAUGGAAGUCAAUGACGCCAUUUUGUCCGUUCAUAUGUAUAUGAAUUCAUACUUGCACAAUGGAAGUCAACGGCACCACAUUGUCCACUCAUAUGUAUAUGACUUCAAACCCGCACAAUGGAAGUCAGUGGUGCCAUUUUGUCCAUUCAUAUGUAUACGGCUUCAAACCCCCACAUUGAAAGUCAAUGGCGUCAUGUUGUCCAUUCAUAUGUAUAUGGCUUCAAACCCACACAAUGGAAGUCAAUGGCACCAUGUUGUUCAUUCAUUGGCAUAUGACUUCAAACCCGCACAAUGGAAGUCGAUGGUGCCAUGUUGUCCGUUUAUAUGUAUAUGGCUUCAAACCCACCCAUUGGAAGUCAAUGGUGCCAUGUUGUCCAUUCAUAUGUAUAUGGCUUCAAACCCACACAUUGGAAGUCAAUGGCACCACAUUGGCCACUCAUAGGUAUAUGGCUUCAAACCUGCACAGUGGAAGUCAAUGGUGCCAUGUUGUCCACUCAUAGGUAUAUAAAGUCAUUCAAAAGUCUUAAGUCCACUAAGGUAAAUGUCUUUCAUUGUUCUACUGCAGCUGUUUAGUUCUAUUUAAAAAUAAAUGCUUAUCUGCCAAAGGAACAAGACCGUUUCAAACAUGAAGUAAAAAGAAGUCUAGAAAUAGGCUUAAUAUGUUACACCAUAUGUUUGUUUUAUUGUAAUCUCAUAAUGGGUAACAUUAAAUAAAUUUGCCUUUAUUUAAGAUAUUUUCACUUGCCAAGAUAUUUUUUAGAAUUUAGACCUAAUGAUUAUACAUCAUUUUCCAGUAAACUCUUUUAACAAGUAAUCUCUGAUGCAAUGUUCAUCACAGCCGUGUCUGUCGCUGUGUGAUUGUGAUUGUUCCUGGGCUGUGACGGCAGUGUUUAGUGAUGGAAUGGGAUUAGCGAGUGUACAGGAGAAUGCUGAGCAUGGUGGGAAUACUGUGCUGGGUUCAGCAGUCUGUCUGAAGGUGCAGGUUAGGCGUGAAUAAUGUGGCUUGGCACCAGAUUACACACACACAUACACAAACACACACACACACACACACACACACACACACACACACACAUAGAGAAAUGAUCAUUUCAUUAAUGAAAAGCAGGAUACCUAAUGCAUAGCUCCAGACAGCGAGAAAGCUUCAAAUGUCUGUGACUAUUUUUAUUAAUCAGUUAUAUAAGGAAUAAAACAUUUCAGGACGUGUUGUUAUAGGAAAAUAAUCAAUGAUUCAGUGGUGUGAUGAAGUAGACUUACUGUUACCACACUGUUAGAAGUUGAUUAUUUUCCAUUAACAGCAUGUCCAUGUAAAGCGUUUUAUUCCUCUUAUCCCACAGCAGUUUUAAAAAAAAACAUUUAUUUUUAUUGAGUAUGACACAUUGUAUUUUUAUCUGUUUAUAUUUACUUUAGUUUAAUACUGUGGAAUGUCUGCAGAACAAGUUAGUUCCUGUUGUCACUUACGUUAUAGCACCUAUAAACAGUCAUUCCCUCACAAGCCUCUAUCUUAAAGUUAACAAGACAGAGAAAACACAGUGUGUCAUGUUACAGAGAAAGUGGAAACCAUCUGAUGGCGACUUUCCUGUGUCAGAAAACGUACUGACUGUUACAAAGCACUGACAUUGGAGACUCCUUCCAUUAAAUAAGUGUCUCCUUACAAACAACAUUCACACAUUUUGCUUUGUUGGAUAAUGCCAUGUUUUUUAAUCCAUUAAUUGUUAGGCUUAGAUUAUGUGAAGCUUCAUCUGUACAAGUUUCUGUGAAUGAGCUGUUACUACAGAAAUGAUAAUGUAUUAGAACAAGCGUAUUAAUAUAAAAUUGUGAUUUGCAGCUGCAC